rnacentral:rRNA from 1 species
ACGGGUGAGUAACGCGUAUGCAACUUGCCUAUCAGAGGGGGAUAACCCGGCGAAAGUCGGACUAAUACCGCAUGAAGCAGGGGCCCCGCAUGGGGAUAUUUGCUAAAGAUUCAUCGCUGAUAGAUAGGCAUGCGUUCCAUUAGGCAGUUGGCGGGGUAACGGCCCACCAAACCGACGAUGGAUAGGGGUUCUGAGAGGAAGGUCCCCCACAUUGGUACUGAGACACGGACCAA